ACUCGUGAAACCAGCGCGAGCAACUGGCGCAAAGUAGCUCUACGAUGUUCAGGUUCCUCUCUUUGCCGCUACAAAAUCAUUCACGUUUUUUCUUCUGCCAUCGUCUUGCAGAUUAUUUUACGUUCUACGAAACUUGUAAUCCCUCCAUAACAUCAUCUCAUGCCAAUUUUAGAUACAAACCGUUAACCAUCAGACGAUAAAUAUAUAUCGAUAAGCGUGAUCGUUACUUUAUCGAUAAUAUUCAAUACUUACCAACAGGUAAUCAAGUUGUCAAGACUAUCUGUCGAUAUAUUAUGUCGGCAGAAUACCAUCAGUACUUUAAUAGAAUAUGCCGUUUUACUAAUAUCGACAGAUAUUCAAUAGUUGAACACAAUGUAAUGGCAGAAACAUUGCAAACAAUAAACAAAGUUUACCGCGAGGAUUAGAUUUCAAAUAUAUCGAGACUCGCGAGUGGCAUCUCUGGAUAAAUGAACUUAUAUAGUUUCUCCCGUAGAAGGGAGGUGUAUUUAAAAGCUAAUGAAGAAAGUCCAUCUUGUCACUGUAGCUGCUGCCACCGUCGAACUAUGUAAUUUCAUGGAACAUGAACGAGACAGAAACGAAAUUUAUCGAUAAUAACGACGAGAAUAGCGGUCGGAACGAAAGGGUGAUGUGGAAGAAAAGAGGUGGGGAACGUAGAAGGUUGAAGGCAGGGCGAGAACGGCGGCUUCAGCUGACCUUUUUAAGCCGUGAAGGGGAAAUUCGGUCUGCUCGACGGGCCCGUUUAUCCUACCCCUGCGGUCCCCGCACCAUCACGUAUAAUGAUCCGCAGCGGCGCUCAACUUCUUGGAAACUGCGCGGUUACCACUAAUGGCUCGCAACUUGUCGUCAUCUUUCUUUGUAUCAUCCAUCAUCAUAUUAUAUUUGUUAUUCUCGAUUGCAAUAUGCGUAUUCGUACAUUGACAGAUAUUGAGCGUUUAUGUAAAAAAAAUUAAUUAGAAAAUGUAACGUAAUGCGCGGGUGUAAAAUAAACACAUUUUUCAUUA